rnacentral:rRNA from 1 species
AGCACGAACGCUGGCGGCAUGCCUAAUACAUGCAAGUCGAACGAACUCUUCGGAGUUAGUGGCGCACGGGUGCGUAACGCGUGGGAAUCUGCCCCUUGGUUCGGAAUAACAGUUGGAAACGACUGCUAAUACCGGAUGAUGACGAAAGUCCAAAGAUUUAUCGCCAAGGGAUGAGCCCGCGUAGGAUUAGCUAGUUGGUGAGGUAAAGGCUCACCAAGGCAACGAUCCUUAGCUGGUCUGAGAGGAUGAUCAGCCACACUGGGACUGAGACACGGCCCAGACUCCUACGGGAGGCAGCAGUAGGGAAUAUUGGACAAUGGGCGAAAGCCUGAUCCAGCAAUGCCGCGUGAGUGAUGAAGGCCGUUAGGGUUGUAAAGCUCGUUUUACCCGAGAUGAUAAUGACAGUAUCGGAGAAUAGCCCCGGCUAACGUCCGACGCCAGCACGCCGAC